rnacentral:rRNA from 1 species
GAUUAAAUUUUAUUUAUUAAUUUUAUUUAUUUAAGUAUUAUAUUUAAUAAAAAUAAUUUUAAUUCAAUAUAGUUUUAGUAUUUUUUAAAGAAAUAAUAAUUUUAAUAAUAGUUUAUUUGUAUUGUAAAAGAAGAUUGAAAUAAUUUGAAAAAUUUUUGUUUUAAAAGAAAAUUUAAUUUAUUGUACCUUGUGUAUCAGGGUUUAUUAAUUAAUUAAUUAUUAUAGUAAUUUUUCUCGAAUUUUAAAGAUUUAAUUAUAUAUAAAAGUUAUUGUGGAAUAAUUAUUUUUAAUAUAUAAUUAGAAAUGAAAUGUUAAUCGUUUUAAAAUAUAUCUAGUUUUUUAAGAAAUAAAUUUAAUUUAGAUUUAUAAAUUAAAAGUAUUAUUUAUUUAAUAUUUUUAAUUUAUAAAAUUAAUAUUUUAAGGGAUUAGCUUUAAAAUAAAUUUUUAAAUUUUAAGGUAAAAGUAUUUAAUAAAUGUAAGCUUAAAAAUAGUUAUCAUUAAUAAAUUUGUUAUAAUUUAUUUUAAAUUUUUUAUUAUUUAUUAUAAAAUUAAAUUAUUUAUUAAAAUAUAAAUUUUAAUAUUAAUGAUUUAUAAAUUAUGGUAAAAUUAGUAUAUUUAAUUUAUAUAAAUUAUUUAAAUUGAGAGGUUUAAAUAAGGAAUUCGGCAAAUUAUAUAUUCACCUGUUUAUCAAAAACAUGUCUUUUUGUAUUUAAUUUAAAGUCUAACCUGCCCACUGAUAGAUAUUAAAGGGCCGCAGUAUUUUGACUGUGCGAAGGUAGCAUAAUCAGUAGUCUUUUAAUUGAAGGCUUGUAUGAAUGGUUGAAUGAGAUAUAUACUGUCUUUUUUAAAUUUUUAUAGAAUUUUAUUUUUUAAUUAAAAAGUUAAAAUAUAAUUAAAAGACGAGAAGACCCUAUAGAUCUUUAUUUUUUUUUAAUUAUAAGUUAAAAAGAAUAAUUAAAUUUAUAGUUUUAUAAAAAAUUUUACUGGGGUGGUAUUAAAAUUUAAUUAACUUUUAUUAUUUGUUUACAUUAAUAUAUGUAUAUUUGAUCCAAUUUUAUUGAUUAAAAAAUUAAGUUACCUUAGGGAUAACAGCGUAAUUUUUUUUUAGAGUUCUUAUCGACAAAAAAGAUUGCGACCUCGAUGUUGGAUUAAGAAUUAUUUUUAGGUGUAGAAGUUUAAAGUUUAGGUCUGUUCGACCUUUGAAUUCUUACAUGAUCUGAGUUCAAACCGGCGUAAGCCAGGUUGGUUUCUAUCUUUAAUAAAUUAUUAUAUUAUAGUACGAAAGGACCUAAUAUAAAAAAUAUAAAUUUUAAAUUUAUGAAUUAUAUUAAUAUUUAAUAAAACUAUUUUGGCAGAUUAGUGCAG